rnacentral:rRNA from 1 species
AGAUUGAACGCUGGCGGCAUGCCUAACACAUGCAAGUCGAACGGGAGUAGCAAUACUCUAGUGGCGGACGGGUGAGGAAUACGUAGGAAUUUGCCCUUAAGUGGGGGAUAACCCGGGGAAACCCGGAUUAAUACCGCAUGACCUCGAAAGAGCAAAGUGGGGGAUCGCAAGACCUCACGCUUUUGGAGAAGCCUACGUCGGAUUAGCUAGUUGGUGAGGUAAUGGCUCACCAAGGCGACGAUCCGUAACUGGUCUGAGAGGAUGAUCAGUCACACCGGAACUGAGACACGGUCCGACUCCGUACGGGAGCAGCGAGUGGGGAA